rnacentral:rRNA from 1 species
AUCGAACGCUGGCGGCAGGCCUAACACAUGCAAGUCGAACGAGUGGCGGACGGGUGAGUAAUGUCUGGGAAACUGCCUGAUGGAGGGGGAUAACUACUGGAAACGGUAGCUAAUACCGCAUACCAUCAGAUGUGCCCAGAUGGGAUUAGCUUGUUGGUGGGGUAACGGCUCACCAAGGCGACGAUCCCUAGCUGGUCUGAGAGGAUGACCAGCACAACUGGAACUGAGACACGGUCCAGCCUCCGCCGGGCGGCAGCAUUGGGGAAUAUUGCACAAGGGGCGCCAGCCUGAUGCAGCCAUGCCGCGUGUAUGAAGAUGGCCUUCGGGUUGUAAAGUACAUUCGGCGGGGAGGCGUUACCCGCAGAAGAAGCACCGGCUAACUCCGUGCCAGCAGCCGCGGUAAUUC